GAAAACAGAAGCAGGCUGUUGCAAGUUAAAAAACCUUUGAGUGCGGCUGCUGCCAGCUCCUUGCAAAUGGUGUUUUCUUUAAGUACCAGCUUUUGACUUUUUCAGUAUUAUAAAAGAAACCGCAAGCAGACCACGUUAGCAUAAAAUGAGUAAUACACAAUGUCAGUUCAUGAAAAAUUGCCCUGAAGCUAUAAAGGUGUCUUUUCUACAUGCUUUAUUUAAUAGAAAGCAAAAUAAAAGCAAACGUGAAUCUUAGGCGUUGGCAUAGAUGGUAUCACAGUGCAGAAAUCGCAUGCAAAGCUAAGCAGCUUGCUUGGAGCCUGGGGUGAAAAAAAAAAAGGCAAGGACACUUUCUGGCCAGGCCAGAUAAAAGAGCAUUGGCUAUAUAUUUCAUUUGUGUUCCUUCCUUAAUUUCUUUUCUCCUUUCCUUAUCUUCACACCUUGAGCUCAGGCAGACCAGCACUUCAUUUCUGACGAGAAGGCAGCCAUCCAAAAAUCAGCUUAAUGAAAAUGCUGUAUCUCACUGCGCUGUUCCCACUGUACGCCACUGGCGAACGAGGUGUAUGGCAUUAGGAGCUUUCUGGAACAAAGUAUGAUUAGACAACCUGAAAUACCUGGAGACACAGGCUUGUUUGUUAGUUUAUAGCUUUUUGUAUAGUGAAGAUUUGAAGAAAGUGUUUUCAAUUAACAUUGCAUCUUUCUAAUCCUGGAGUUUAUUUGGGAUAAAUGCGGCGUUAACAUCUCCAUAUGGCAUUCAUAGAGGAAUAUGGGCCCACAGAGAGCUCUGCAUGAGAUGUAAACCAAGGACCCUGGAAUCAGCAUCAACACAUGCGUCAAAAGCUCUGUUCCCUUCUUACAUCGUAAAGUCUUGAGAUGGACCACGGAUCCCUGCUUGGUUGUUGGCAUAAGAUGGCUGCCCCACCAGCGAGGAGGCUGGGGGAGCACAAGGAGCUGAGAGGGGAUACAGCCGGGACAGCUGACUCCGACUGACCAAAGGGAUGUCCCAGACCACAUGAUGUCAUGCUCAGCAA